rfam:Asian citrus Psyllid, Diaphorina citri - Florida Strain, whole genome shotgun sequence.
GUCAGCGGCGAUAGCACGUUGAGGUCACCAGUUCCCCAUGGAUCACUGAAGAUCAGCAACGUUACGCGUGGUUCGUAACCGGAUGGGUGACCAUCUGGGUAAUCGUGUACUGCUGGAU